GACGAACGCUGGCGGCGUGCUUAACACAUGCAAGUGGAGCGACGAACCGGACUUCGGUCCGGGGCAGAGCCGCGAACGGGUGAGUAACACGUGGGUAACCCACCCCGAUGACCGGGACAACCCGAGGAAACUCGGGCUAAUACCGGAUGAGCUCUACUCCCUCGAGGGAGCAGAGGAAAGAUAGCUUCGGCCUUCGCAUCGGGACGGGCCCGCGGCGCAUUAGCUUGUUGGUGGGGUAACGGCCUACCAAGGCGACGAUGCGUAGCUGGUCUGAGAGGACGAUCAGCCACACUGGGACUGAGACACGGCCCAGACUCCUACGGGAGGCAGCAGUGGGGAAUCUUGCGCAAUGCGCGAAAGCGUGACGCAGCAACGCCGCGUGGGGGAAGAAGGCCUUCGGGUUGUAAACCCCUUUCAGUUGGGACGAAGCUUCGACGGUGAAUAGCCGUCUGGAGUGACGGUACCUUCACAAGAAGCCCCGGCUAACUACGUGCCAGCCGCCGCAGUAACAC
rnacentral:rRNA from 1 species